AAACCAACUGGGAUUACCUUAGUAACGGCGAGUGAAGCGGUAAAAGCUCAAAUUUGAAAUCUGGUACUUUCAGUGCCCGAGUUGUAAUUUGUAGAAUUUGUCUUUGAUUAGGUCCUUGUCUAUGUUCCUUGGAACAGGACGUCAUAGAGGGUGAGAAUCCCGUUUGGCGAGGAUACCUUUUCUCUGUAAGACUUUUUCGAAGAGUCGAGUUGUUUGGGAAUGCAGCUCAAAGUGGGUGGUAAAUUCCAUCUAAAGCUAAAUAUUGGCGAGAGACCGAUAGCGAACAAGUACAGUGAUGGAAAGAUGAAAAGAACUUUGAAAAGAGAGUGAAAAAGUACGUGAAAUUGUUGAAAGGGAAGGGCAUUUGAUCAGACAUGGUGUUUUUGCAUGCACUCGCCUCUCGUGGGCUUGGGCCUCUCAAAAUUUCACUGGGCCAACAUCAAUUCUGGCAGCAGGAUAAAUCAUUAAGAAUGUAGCUACUUCGGUAGUGUUAUAGCUUUUUGGAAUACUGUUAGCCGGGAUUU
rnacentral:rRNA from 1 species